rnacentral:tRNA from 1 species
GCCCCCAUCGUCUAUCGGCUAGGACACCACUCUUUCAAGGUGGAGAGCGGGGUUCGAUUCCCCGUGGGGGCA